GGACUGGUCAGUUUAUUCUGUGUGCUCUCAUUUAAAAAGUCUAUUUUACUGUUAUACUGUGUGUCCUAUUAUACUGUGUGUCUGCUAUAUUUCCUUACUCAGCUAUUUGCAAAACAUAUAUCAAUACUAGCUAGGAUGAAACCAAGAUAAACCUCUUCACAGAAACAGACUCGGUCUAAAAGGUCACGCCAGCUUGUGGUCAUGCCCCUAUGCAGCUGUUCCUGGAAGAUGACUGCUAAAUUAAAACCGCAUAAGAACUUUGUACUUUAUAUUUCGUUGUAUUUCCUCCCAUUUCAAGAUAUAUAUCUACGAAGUUUGAUAUCUAUUUUUAUAUCUAUGAAGUUUGUACUUUUCCAUUUGAAGCCACAUAGCGAAACCGCAAGCUUAGGAGGGUGUCAUAACAACCCCCACCUAGCCUAUAUAACCUUUUGUACCUUACAAUAAAGUGUGAAGAAGCAUUUUGUAUACUGAACUGUCUGUGUCAGUGUCAUUCCUGCUUAUCAGCUAGCUGAACUUAUUCACCACAAUUUGGAAGGGACAGAUACUCUCGGGACAUAUUUCUGUCCAUAACAAUUGGCUCCCAACGUGGGGCACCAGGUUCUGGCUGACCACUAGCCGAUGCCAAGGACAACAGUCGCCCAGUAGAGGAAAAGGACGGAGACUGAUCACCUCCGGGACACAGGUAAGACCUAUGUUAUUAGUUUCUUGCCUGUGUCAUACCUGUACCUACUGCUGAUGGUGUCUGUUGCCAAUAUCGACUUCUAUCAGCCAGCAAAGACAGGUAAAAUCUUGCCUGGUGCCAUUUACCUGACCUGUAUAAGAGUAUCUUGUCGCCUAUUAAUCUAUGGUUGAUGUUUAUUGUCUAUUAACUGCUUACUGGUGGAUGAAAAUAUAGAAUAAAAGGAUAGGGUAAUACUUCGGACAACAGGUGACAACUGGAUAUACAUUGUUUCUGACAUUUUGUGGGGGGAGGGACAAACGUGUCCCGACAAACGUGUCGGCCCCCCGGCGUCCUGUGCGUAGGACCAAGCAAAGUGUUAAGCAGUGUCUGCUACGGGGGGGAAGGACAGAAGUGUCCAGGACAAACGUGUUGACCCCGAGAAGCGUGUAUAUCAUACAUCUCCCAGACGUGGGAGAUGAGUACAUUUGCAGCUGAUUGACACAAGUGGUCUUUCUUCGGGGCUAGCAAACCCCGACUACCCAAGCGUGGGAGCGUGCAAAUUGCUGGAGUAGGAUAGCACACCUACUCCGUGACGGGUUGUCCCUGUUAUCCCUAGUUGUGAUAGUCAGAAGACCCACCAGUAUUGAGGUUGUUGUUCCCCUCGUGGACGUCAUUGAGUAUUGUAUUGUGUGUCCGAUGUCCUGUCCAGAGUGCGUGUUGGCCUGUUUAUGUUAUGUGUUACUUCGUCUCUGGGUGAUUUGGAUAAAAUAGAAGGGACAGAGAUAGUAUCGGCAGAUAUAGUACCAGUAAGGCCGGCCCUGAUGUAUUCGAAGGCGAGAGCCAGUGGAGGCAGGUAUCUAUAUAAGUAUAUGGACAGUAUCAGUAAGGCCGGCCCUGAUGUAUCCGAAGGCGAGAGCCAGUGGAGGCAAGUAUUGUCCAUAUACAUAGGCACAAUACCCUGGGUCCUCCCAACUGAUGAACUUUGUGAUUAGUCAGUGGGAGGCGGUUUGUCUAUAAUACGUGUGGAGAUAAAAAGUUCCCGAUUGACUGAGUUUUGUACCUGUCAAGCCUGUGGCGGUCCCCCACGUAUCAUACUGUCUCUGUUCAUAUCUGGCUAAACCCAGUAAGACAUCCCACCAGAGUUGAAAUUGUGUCAAUGUCAUGAGCUCAGUUAUGUCGUGUUUGUUUUUACUUGUGUGUAUCAAUUUAAUCAUUAUACAGACUGACCAAGAACCCUGCGCAAUAUAGUCUGUACUCCUUGUCUAUCCACAAAGUGUAAUUUUUGUAUUAGGUCUGGGGAUAGGGUUAUACAGCCAGAUGGCAAAAAUCAAGUAUUUGUACCACCUUUCCCAUUGCAUGGCAAAUAUACAGCCACCGCCUUAUAAUGGCGCCUCAGAAAAAGGACAGAUAGCCAGAGUAUGAGAACUAAAACGUCAUUGAGUUUCCCUGGUGGCCAUCUUCCCCUUGGUCACUGCCCCAGUCUAGAUCUGAAGAGUAAUAAUGGGACAAAAACAUCAGUACAAUGAGUGAGGGGGUCCCGGCAUGUGAGUUAGUGGCAGGCCGGGUGGGUAAAAAGGUAUGUAAGAAAAUAUGAUAGAUUGCCAAAAGAAUGCAAUUUGACCAAGAAUGACCCCCGCCUACAGCCGGAAGAAUGGCGUCUUCUCUUAACCGAGAAGAGAGGUGUGCUACUUGAUAAGGGUUUUGUAGAGACCGCUGAAGUUUAAAGUUGUUAAAUGCUUACACAAAGAAUAAUCGAAUCAAAUAGAAAAGUUAAAGUGAUGUAUUAGAAGCUCUAAUCCUACAAGAGUUGAGUGGUUGUUACUCAUAUGGCAUAACCACAAUCUGGAUCUUUUUCACCAACAUGAAGGUUGGUGAUCUGAGCAAAAUUCCAUCAGUAGCUGUUGAGAUUAUUCCAAUCCAUUCCCAAUAGAACAGCUAUCAUUGAUCCCACCACUCAUAGAAAUCAAAGAGAAGAACAAGAAAAGCUGCUAGCAGAAGGGUUAAGUUAGAAAAAUAGAGAAUAGUGAGAAGAGACAAUUCAUCUUUCAGUGCUGAAAACAGCAGCGCUGAUACAGGCAGUUCUCAGCCCCGCAGCCAAGCUCUACCCCGCCCGUACAGUACAAACUAGAGAAGAGGGGGGGAGAGGCGGGGGCACACA